rnacentral:lncRNA from 1 species
GGGUUGGAAAAAUAUUCAACCGAAAUAUAAUUUGUUCGGUUUGAAUCGGUUUCGGUUCGGUUGGUUCGGUUUAACUUUGUUCGGUUCAGUUUUUUUGUCCACCCCUACUCCGAAGCAUUAACAUUUCGAAAGAAGAGGAAAGCGAUCAUUGUUGGACUAUUUUGCGCUCACGUCAGCACUUAUCAGGCUGUCGUCAUGUAUUGGUGCUCGA